CCUUUCUCUCCCGCACCGUGGGUCUGUCUGGCUUAAAACCGGGAACAACGAAUACUCGGCACACGGCAGGGCUAAAGGUGAAAUGCCCCCUUUCCUUUUCCUCAAAGAAAGGAUGGUCAUCAAAAUAAGAGACUCAAAAACAUUUUGCCUCCAAAAAAGGCUGCAAUAAGUUUUAAUUCCGGUUGUUUUGCUGAAUCUGUUUCAAUAUAAACACUUGUUUUGAUUUUGUUCUUGUGUUUAAUCAAAAAACUUUCAGCUUGAGAAUAAAUACUUAAGCCAGGGCCUCUGUAAAACAACCCAGGCUGCGGGGGCAGCAGAUGGCGCUGGAGAGCUGGGAGAGGGAAUCCCUGUGUCAAGUCUCCCUUGCCGCCUUCGCUGCUGGGAGGGUGGAUGGUCUAGUGCAGAUCAUCCCAUCCCCUUGAGAGACGGGGAAGGGAAAUGGCUGCAGCGGAGCUGGUGACCUUCAAGGAGGUGUCUGUGUAUUUCACUGAGGAGGAAUGGGCUCUGCUGGACCCAGGUCAGAGAUCCCUCUACAGGGACGUCAUGUGGGAGAAUUAGGAGACUGUGACCUCACUGGAUGGAAGCUCCCUUUGUACCAAAGUGCAAAGAUCCUGGCGACACGAGUAACUUUGACAACUAUGAGGAGGAGGAGAUCCGGGUCUCAACCACUGAGGAGUACGCCAUGGAGUUUUCUGAGUUCUAGGACCAGCGGCCCCCCCAAGAAGGGUGCAUGCGGAGCGGGGGGGAGUUGGAUUUUGGUUUCAUAGAUAAAUUAAAUCUAUAUAGCCCUGUGGCUAGGUCUCCCCCCCCAAAUCCCCCCUUUCCACAAAGAAGCUUGAGAGUCCCAUCUAGAGGGUGAGGAUAUCAUCCACCCCGCCCUGGGAAACACGUCUGUGUCCUCCAACAACACUUGUUUCACUGGAAAAAAACAAAAGAACCCCCCACCCCCACUUCCUACUUAACAGUGUGCUUUGUUGUUAACAUGUUUGAAACAAUUACCAAUAAAGUUUAAAAAAAAAAUCA